UACAGAGGGUGCGAGCGUUAAUCGGAAUUACUGGGCGUAAAGCGUGCGUAGACGGUUAUUUAAGUCGGGUGUGAAAGCCCCGGGCUCAACCUGGGAAUUGCAUUCGAGACUGAAUAGCUAGGGUACGGUAGAGGGAAGUGGAAUUUCCGGUGUAGCGGUGAAAUGCGUAGAUAUCGGAAGGAACAUCAGAGGCGAAAGCGACUUCCUGGACCAGUACCGACGUUCAGGCACGAAAGCGUGGGGAGCAAACAGG
rnacentral:rRNA from 1 species